AUAACUCCAGCUUUAACAAUUUGCAAUAAUCAUGUUUCUUUCAUUGUGCAUUGCACUUAAACUCAGUCAAACUGCAGUUAUUUUCAAUAGGAAAAAAAAUACAACCAAUAAAAACAUGAUAACCAGAGAUGUAUAAAGUACUAGAGACCCAGACUUGAGUAAAAGUACAAGUGCUCUAUCAAAAAAGUGACUUGAGUAGAAGUUGAAGUGCUCUUUAAGCACCAUACUUAAGUGGAAGUACUAAAGUAUUCAACAUUUUUUGUACUUAAGUAUUGCAAGUAGUUUAUUUUAAAAUUUACUACUCAAAUACCGAAAGUAAAAGUACAAGUAUUGUGUUAUGUAGUUAUUAAAGAAAGCAGUCAAAAGACAUCAUAUAAAACACUACACUAUAAUAAUGGGCACGUGAUUAAGCAGAACGAAAAGAAACAUGGUUUACGAUUUAUAUAUAUAUAUAUAUAUAUAUAUAUGAUGGGUCAAAAAUACCAUUCAGCGUGACAGCCUUUAUGAUAGCCAGCUAGUUAACGUUAACUGAACAUCGCAGCAUGUUAUGAACCGCGCGUACCUAACUAAAGUGCUCUCAAUGCAGGCAGGCAGCGCUGUCUUCUUUGAUCGUCUGAUUCGCUCAGUGACGAGCCAGCUUAUUCAAACCUGUGACAGAGCCAUCAACUGCUCUGGCAGUGAUAAUGUGGGUUUGGAAUGAUUCGCAACAUUUUUAUAAUUGUAACGAGUAACGAUGCAGCACAUAAAAAAUCUAUUGGAGUAAAAGUAUUAAACUCAUCGAAAAUAUGUACUGAAGUAAAAGUGGAAGUAGGAGAAAAAAACAAUACUCCAGUAGAGUACAGAUACGGCCUUUUAGUACUUAAGUAGAGUAGUGAAGUAGUUCUACUUCGUUACUAUACAUCUCUGAUGAUAACACAGUAAAAGAACUUGAUUUUUGAAAAUGUAAAAGAGUUAUCUGUUUUUGCAAAUAAACAUAUAUGUACAGUGGGUACGGAAAGUAUUCAGACCCCCUUAAAUUUUUCACUCUUUGUUAUAUUGCAGCCAUUUGCUAAAAUCAUUUACGUUCAUUUUUUUCCUCAUUAAUGUACACACAACACCCCAUAUUGACAGAAAAACACAGAAUUGUUGACAUUUUUGCAGAUUUAUUAAAAAAGAAAAGCUGAAAUAUCACAUGGUCCUAAGUAUUCAGACCCUUUGCUCAGUAUUUAGUAGAAGCACCCUUUUGAUCUAAUACAGCCAUGAGUCUUUUUGGGAAAGAUGCAACACGUUUUUCACACCUGGAUUUGGGGAUCCUCUGCCAUUCCUCCUUGCAGAUCCUCUCCAGUUCUGUCAGGUUGGAUGGUAAACACUGGUGGACAGCCAUUUUUAGGUCUCUCCAGAGAUGCUCAAUUGGGUUUAAGUCAGGGCUCUGGCUGGGCCAUUCAAAAACAGUCACGGAGUUGUUGUGAAGCCACUCCUUCCUUAUUUUAGCUGUGUGCUUAGGGUCACUGUCUUGUUGGAAGGUAAACCUUCGGCCCAGUCUAAGGUCCUGGGCACUCUGGAGAAGGUUUUCGUCCAGGAUAUCCCUGUACUUGGCCGCAUUCAUCUUUCCCUCGAUUGCAACCAGUCGUCCUGUCCCUGCAGCUGAAAAACACCCCCACAGCAUGAUGCUGCCACCACCAUGCUUCACUGUUGGGACUGUAUUGGACAGGUGAUGAGCAGUGCCUGGUUUUCUCCACACAUACCGCUUAGAAUUAAGGCCAAAAAGUUCUAUCGUGGUCUCAUCAGACCAGAGAAUCUUAUUUCUCACCAUCUUGGAGUACUUCAGGUGUUUUUUAGCAAACUCCAUGCAGGCUUUCAUGUGUCUUGCACUGAGGAGAGGCUUCCGUCGGGCCACUCUGCCAUAAAACCCCGACUGGUGGAGGGCUGCAGUGAUGGUUGACUUUCUACAACUUUCUCCCAUCUCCCGACUGCAUCUCUGGAGCUCAGCCACAGUGAUCUUUGGGUUCUUCUUUACCUCUCUCACCAAGGCUCUUCUCCCCCGAUAGCUCAGUUUGGCCGGACGGCCAGCUCUAGGAAGGGUUCUGGUCGUCACAAACGUCUUCCAUUUAAGGAUUAUGGAGGCCACUGUACUCUUAGGAACCUUAAGUGCAGCAGAAAUUUUUUUGCAACCUUGGCCAGAUCUGUGCCUUGCCACAAUUCUGUCUCUGAGCUCUUCAGGCACACUGUAAACCCCACUGUUGUUAUUAAUAAAGAAAUUAAGUUAAUGUAACUUGACAUUACUUAAAGUACUAAGUUUUGGCAUCAAAACUUAAACAGGUGUGUUUAACUUACUCAUUUGGCAGCAAAAACGUUUUAAUUAAUAUUUUAAGUUAUCUGAACUCAACAUUUUAAUUCAUUUAAACGUUUCACCAUGUCUCUGUUUAAAAUGAUUGGUCGCGCUUGAAAUUCUGCUUUGACAACCGCGCUGAUUGGUCGAUAUAAAUUACUAUGACACAAGGCGGGAUUUUUUUUUUUUGUCUUGUGCUGAAUUUUGCUGAAGCAGCAGCAGGACAGAGGCACUAGCAGAAACCAUCUGACAGAAGAAAGACAAAAGUUAAAUUAUAGCAGCACAAGUACGCUGGCGGUAAAGCAGGUGGGAAGAGAGUCGUCCUAAAACAUUCAUUAGAGUGACGUUACACAGCUGCACUUGCUGGCAGGCGAUUAUGAAGCAGGCGGGGACACGCAUGGAGUCGUGAUAAAGGCCCAUGGAUUACGCUGCGGCACUUGCAGGCAGGCGGUGGUGAAGCAGGCGGUGACAGGGAUGGAGUAGUUAUGAAGGCCCAUGGAUUACACUGGUGACCUGACAGAAGAAAAUGUGGAAUUGUAAAUACUGCAUUUUUAGUUCUGAGAAAAGAGGAGAAAUUCUUAAACACUAUCGUCUGAAGCAUGGAGGCCAUACAAAGAUUGUCCCUUUUCCAUGCCCACACCAGGACUGUCUUUGCACGUUUCAGUCCAUCAGUAAUUUGCAAGUGCAUCUUUCUAAAAUUCAUGCUAAAGAAGACCGUGAACAUGCGAGUAAAGUAACACCACUUGAAUUUAAGUGUCAGCACUGCGAGUUUUCUGAACCCUGCACAGAAGCAGAUUUUCUAAGACACUUGCGUAGUAGACAUUUAAAAGCAAAUGAGAACAUCCAGUGUCCUUACAGAGGUUGCACGUUUCAGACUCGUGUUUAUGCAACAUUCAAUUCGCAUAAAAGUAAGACGCAUAGUGAACAUGACAGGAGGAUGAUGAAGCCAGAAAUUAUUUCUGGUAAUAGUGAGGAGAAUGACAAUGAUGAACUCGAACCCGUUUCUUUGGAUGAAAUUGAAAUUGAGGAAAAUGAAGAUCAGUUAGAUAAGGUAUCCUCUGAUUUUGAGAGUCAAUUAGAGCACAAUUUAGCUGGUAUUUUUUUAAAGAUGCAAAGCGUUCUUCAUAUUCCAGCAAGUUCUGUUCAAGAUAUCAUACAAGAAUUAACUGAAAUUCAUAAGCUGUCUUUCCCAAUGGUGUAUAAGUCCAUUUCAGGUGUCCUGAGGAAACACUAUCCAGAUGUUGAUGAUUCCCUUGUUACAGAAGUAGCAGAUGCUGUUUCUAAGAGCAAUGCAUUUUCAAGGUGCUGCGACCCAGGUGGAUGUUUGUCCACAAUCAAAAAAAGGAACUCAUUUGUGUUAAAUGAAUUUCCAGUGGUUAUGCCUGUGGAGUACAUGCUUCCUGAUGGAGAGAAACCGUAUGUUUAUGUACCAAUCCAGCCUGUGUUACAAACAAUGCUCAACAAGCAAGACAUUUUGGAUAAAGCACUUUCAGUGCAAGAAUGUGUAGCAAAUAGCUACAGUUCUUAUCGUGAUGGUGACUAUUUUAAAGAAAAUAGUCCUCUCAAUGGCGACAAAUUUAAAAUUGCUCUUGGACUUUAUAUUGAUGAUUUUGAGGUGGCUAAUCCAUUGGGUACAUCCAGAGGCAAACACAAAAUGUGUGCAGUGUACUGGGUGUUAGCAAACAUAGCUGUGAAGUACAGGUCAACUCUUCACUCCAUUCAACUUGCUCUUCUCUGCAGUGCUAGCACAGUGAAGAAGUAUGGCUACCAAAAAAUUAUGCAGCCACUUCUGCAAGACCUUGUCCAUCUAGAGCAAACUGGGUUGUACAUUGAUCAGUUAGGUGCUACUGUGAAAGGCACUGUCUUAUAUGUUUCAGCUGACAAUGUUGCUGCUCAUUCUCUUGCAGGUUUUUUCGAGAGUUUUACUGUGGAGAGGUUCUGCCGCUUUUGCAUGGCCACAAGAAACGAGACUCAGCACACUGAAGUUGGCACCAGAAACUUUGAACAACGGACUGAGAAUAUGCACAACAGGCACAUUGAGGAGUAGUCCAAUCACAUCCAGUUCCAGUGGAUUGCAGUUUUAUGAAGACAGUGACCAAACUUGAUGGGUUCUCACGAGAAGAUGCUCUUGAGGGUUAUCCUAUGUGAAGGAGAUAUAAGGAAGAUCAUCCUUGCAAAGAAACCAGAUUCUAUUGAUGACUUGGUUGUAUCACUAAAAGAAAGUUUAAAGGUUGAUUUUCAAUUUUUCUCUUCAGUAUGAAGAUAAAGACUUUGACAAUGCACUUUGCAAUUUAACGGACAUUUCAGCACUUCAAGACCGAGCAACAGUGAAAAUAAUUCCUGUACUCGAACUUACACCAGUUGAUGUGGUGGAAACGUUUAAUGACUCUGCAAGCACAGCAGACACAGAAAUUCUUUCACCUCAGGAAAGACAGAAGCCCUGGCCAAAUGUCUUUGAUAUUCCUAGCUUUUCAGUAGAUGUUGAAUAUCGUCUGCGGCAGGGCAACUUGAAAUACCUCAAAGAUGGCACUUUCCUCAAACCGUCUCGAGACCUUAAACAUCAGAUCCUUGAAAAAUUGGCCGAAAGCAUUUUUGCCUUUAAGGCCUAUCCAGAUGAUAAGGAUUAUGAACAAGUAGCAUCUGCCCUGGUAAAACAGCAUCCAUGUCUGUUGGAAAGUGGUUCACGAUCUGGCUGGGGGGGCUGGAAAAAUAGCCUUAAAUUUAAAAUGGGGAAUUUUAGAACGAAGAUGCGAAAGUUGGGUGUUCCUGAUGUAUCAGUAAAUGCAGGAAAACGUGGUGCUAACAACCCAGAAGGAGAGCCAUCACGGAAAAACAUAAAAAAACCCAAGAAAUGCGAACUAAAUUUCCUACCCAGCUAUCCUGAAGGACAUGAUGAUGCCAGCCUUAAGAAUGCUCGCAAAGAACUGGAAGAAGAAAUGUAGAAGAGAACACCCAGUGCUUCUGUAUUGUCACAAAAAAUGGACUUGACGUUUGCAUUAAGGCGCAAAGAGAUGGUUGUGUCAGCGCCUGCAAUCACUGAUGUACUUGACCGCUGGCCAGCUCUGUUCCGUGAGACACAGAUCUACAUGGAGUUUAACAGGAUUGCUGGUACAGGGUGUCCGCGGGGUUGUAAAAGGUAGUAAAAGGUAGUAAAUGAAAUUAGCCAAAAUUAAGGGCAUUAAAAAGUAUUAAAAAGUAAUAAACGUCGUUUGACGAGGUAUUAAAUUUUCGAGCCCAUUUUUUUAGAUAAAUUUAAAUUUGUGUUAAGUGCAGGCCUUUCUUCUAAAAUUUGCGUGGAUUAAUGUAUAUGUUGAGAGUAGGACCUGAGCGAUAUCAUGUGAGGUAGUGUUCGUUCGCGCGCGCGCCGGCGCCGCUGAAACAAACUGGGUGCCCGGCUAGUUCGCUGCCAAACAUGUAAGCGAGCUCGCUUCCGUUCCGUAAUUAAAUUAAUGUAACCUGGGUGGGGGAGAAUGGCGUCAAAUCGCAUAUGGAAUCAAAUAGCCACCAAGCUAGGAUGCGCGGACGUAGCGAGCAUCUUCCCAUAUCAAUGUUCUGCGCUACGGCUGCAUCAACGACUUCAACAUCGACUGCUCUCCCGAUGCAAACCACUGCCAGCAGUAGUCCUAGCAGCAUCGUCAACAGGUGCGUGACAGACAUUGCGAGCUGAGGUGCUGUGGUGUUUAGACCUAUGGUUUAGACCUAGCAACUAGAGCUGUAAUCGGCCUUAAAAGUUAGGCCCGACAAGUAUAUUUUGAUUGACAGCUUUUUAAAAGCCCGAACCCGUUUACAGCCCAACAUUAUUCAAAUGUGCGCAAGCACACUGCUCUUUUGCCUUUUGUCAAGAAUGAGUCAAUUAUACAUGUUUUAAUAUAAUUUAUUAAUGACUAACGUAGGCUAUAAGCCACUUGGAACUUGGAACAAAGAAAUAAAAUAAGUCCUCUGGAACAUCGUAACAUCUUAGCACUCUAGGCCGCGAUCACACCGAACGCGUUUUUGCAGCGAGAAGCGCCUUUUUUGAAUUGUUUUCUAUGGUCAGUGAGCGUUAUGCGCGCUGUUUAUGCGUCGCCGGCGCCUCGCGUUUUAACCGCCUGCUGCGCCUCGCGUUUUUGUCGGAGCGCUCUGAGCGCCUGAAAUUGAAAAAAAAGCAACUCUGCGCGGAAAAGCGCCCGACGUCAUCGCGGUUUUUUCCAUUGUCUAAUCGAAUGAAUGGAGAGGCGGACCUUCUCUUUUGGUGACGAAAGUUUUACCGACGCUUAAAAAGUCGGAGACUGCAGUGAUGGAGGAGAAACUUUUGGUGUCUAUCGCGGGUUACCCGGAGCUGUAUGUUUUAACUUUUUUGCUGAUAUGACAGUUUACUUAACAGCUAAAAACCAAAGAUUUUAUAGCGCUUGCGCUAUAAUCCUUUGAUUAGAUUGACAGGACGGCUUAUUUGAUGGUUGCCUAGCAACAUAUAAAACCGCAACGCACUGCUCUUUUUUUAAAAGUCACCAGAAAAAGGCAGUGCGGUGCGCCUCGCGUUUUUAGAACUAAAAAACGCGUUCGGUGUGAUCGGGGCCUAAAUAGGCAUACACUUAGCCAACGCGCCAAUAAAAAAGACUUUCUUAUAUUAAAUUAAGAUAAGUUCUAAAUUAAGAUGGGGUUUUGGCAGUAACUAAAUUAAGAUAAAGGCUCCGCGGGAUUUGCUUCGCUACUUUUCUCCACAAUCCCGCCUCAACGCGAGAGUGAAUAGCAGCUGAAAUGUAAUAAUUUCAGUAAUAAUUUGUAAUAAUGCCAACAUUAGCCUAUAUACUCUGUCUACAUUAUGCAUUUAAGACUCAAUUAAUAUUUUGUUAUAAUUGAAAAACCCUUACUCACCAAGAUUAGGGUACAUAUUUUUGUGGAGGAAAAUGAUUGAAUCCACUGUAGUUUCAGUGUGGUCCUGCGCUCACUGAUGGUUCGUCCAGCAGCGCUGAACACCCCCCAACAAACAUGAGACGUCCACCCGACGUGCAGAUCAUGUCUAUAUUCCGACAAAGACGUUGAAAUGACGUCGUUUCGUUUGCUCAGUGGGCCUUUCACUGCUGCUGUGACAGGCCGGGAUGCACAGUACUGAUCUGGCAAAUUUUGCCAAAACGUAAUCACCAGAGGCAUGCCUCCGUUUUACCUCCUCAACAUCAAUUUUCGCAUCUUUCUCGCGCUAAUCGAAACGCAUCACAUGACCGCUCAUUUACCGCGCAAGCCCGAGCCCGUGUACAAUUAUAUAAAUUAAGCCAAAGAUCUUCAGCUCUAAUGCAAUUGUUACAUUUUGACAUUGAUUAAAACUAUGGACAAAGGCCCAUUGUGACAUCUUGAUUAAUCCCUCUGCUUUACUUAAAUGUAUCAGCUUGAUUUAUUUUAAUAACACCUGUGCUUACUGCACCGCCACCUCUUUUUUAGAUUGCUCACACAUCAGACUUACUGACUAAUGAUCUAUGAAGAAGAUGUCUCCUUCCUCUUCUGUCUUUAUUUCUAUUCUUAUAUCUGUGGGCAGUUUUUGAGUCCAGUGUUGAUGUUAAGUUAUAAUGACCUUGUUACAUUGUGAUGCAGUAUGUUAUUCCAUUUGGAAAGAUAUUUCAUUUACGCCACUACAGUUACAGCUCUAAGACGCGCUGGUAUUAAAAAAAAUUUUGAAGGUAUUAAAAAAGGUAGUAAAAGGUAUUAAAUUCAACUCAAGAAGUUCUGUAUAUACCCUGUGGUAAGAACCUGAAAAAGGAAUUUUAUGAGUCCCUUGAUCGACAUAGUACAUGCCUCUUGGACAUUUUCAGAGCCAAAAAGGGAGUUGCUGGUCAGCUCUUGAUGGACCUUCUGAAGCAAACAAAGUUGUCAGAGCCAACUGAGGUCCGAACUCUUGUGCUCCAAGGACUACCUCUUGUGUUUGGAGAUGACUCCCCUGCUUUCUUCAAGACAUGUUUGAUGUCCGAUGAUCGCAGCUCGAAUCUUGACGUUCCAGUGGGGAUUGUAAUAGUUGAAGAUGGGACUACUCUUCAGCCUCUCAACUCUCUGCAUUUGCCUCUCUCCUCAUUUGGGAUAGUAAUUGAGGGAAAAGUGGUGAUGGACAAUCUACGUGACCUUCCUGAAUCAAUGUGCCUUCUGUUUGGACUAAUUUAUGCGUUACACUUAAAUUACCCAAAGUCACUGAAGUACACAUUUGAAUUUAUUCAACGCAUUCUCCUUUCCAUGGGGCAGAAAGACCUGCAGCCUACAAGAUACAAUCCUUGGCUAACCAGCUGUUCCAUUAAAAUGGAUAAACAAGAUCAGCACAUGCAUUUUCAUAAAAAAAGAAAAGAAAAAAACCCACUUAAGAUACAGCAUGGGGGGGGUCUCUUUCUGUUUUGUGCUUUUCUUGUCAGCUGAGAUUUAAAAAAAAAAAAGACCUUUACAUUGGAAAUUAAAAACAUUUUAAUGUUAACAGUCAGUAAGACUUUUACCAGCAAAGUGGAAACUUGUCUUUUUUCCUUUUUCUCUAACCUUUUACUUGCAGAGAAUGUAGUUUGUUCACAUUUAAUGACAGGACACUCAAAUUUGUUGCAUGAUUCUGUGGAAUGACAACAAACCUACCAUACAAAACACUGUGGUAGGUCCAGAUUAAUACCAUGGUAUUUAUAACACACAAGGAACUGGAAAAUCUCAAACCAAAAAUAUGAGUUUACAGUUUUGUCUCUUCUAAAAAUGUGACAAAAUGUCUAGAUAAAAAUAAGCUUACCAUUUGGUUGUUAAUGUGUCUUUUAAAAUGUUAUAAUAAAUAAUAGGUUUACAUCUAAAAACAGUUUACCGUUAAAACAAUAGCUUAUGUUCAUGUCUUUUAAAAAUGUGAGUUUACUGUUAAAAAUUUGCUAUUUCGUUGUUUGUGCAUCUUUUAAAAAUGUGAGCUUGCAUUUAAAAAUACCUUUUCUGUUAAAAAUGAGUUCAGGUUUUCUAAAAAUGUGAGCUUAUGAUUUUGUUCAUGUCUUAAAAAUUACUGAAUGUGAUCUUACAGAUGAAAAUAGGAGUUUGCUGUUAAAAUGAGCUCAUGAUUUUGUUGUUCAUGUCUUUUAAAAAUGUGGGCUUACUGUUAUAAGCAAUGAAAUGUAAAUGCAGUAUAAUCCUAAUAAAGUGGUUGAUUUGGGAAAAAAACAACUUGUUUUAAUGAUUUAUAAAUUAUUUAAUACAAGUAAAGAAUAUAUAAGCUGAAAAUUUGGGAAGUUUUGUCUAUUAGCCCUUUUAAGUUAUUUGUACUUAAACAUUUAAGUUAAUUCAAUGAAGAGACCACAUUUGGUUAACUCAAUAAAUCGAGUUGUCAAUUUUCCAUUACUCAAACGAACUGAGGGAAUCACUUUCCUCAAAUCAUUUGAG